ensembl:snoRNA small nucleolar RNA SNORA61
ACCCUCCGGUUCCCUUUCCCAUCAGAUAUUGAUGCUGGUCUUGGUGGUCGUAAAGGAGGGAAAGCGCACUGAAACUGGACUCAUAGCAAUGUAGUGUGGUAUAGAGCAUUGGGUCAGAUUCAUACAUGC